AGCAAAAAUUUGGAAAUAACGAAUUUCGCUAAAUUUGUUAAAAAACUAAUUAGAAACUAAACAAAUUGCGCAUGUCUAAUUCAAGUAAAUGUAACAAUCUCAGCAGAAAGAUAUGAAGAAAUGAUUUUCCCUGCACUCACACCUAUGCGCUUUUUGGUGCUUUUUGCAGAAACUCUCUACAGUCCAUUUAACAUGGUUUCCUAUGGAUGUAGUUCACAUUUACUCUAUAGGGGGUGUACGGCUGCUGCAUUACUUACAGAAAGGGGGCGGGGCAUUAUUUCCUAUGGCUCCUCCCAGUACAGGAUCAUUAUGUAUAGUGAGAGGGGACAUUGUAUAGAGUGCCGGACCUGAGACAGAGCGCAGGGUGUAACAUGACUUAUGGGAGGCACAGAUGGAGGUGUACUGGCCCUUUAAGACCCAAUCUAUCUAUCUAUAAUAUAAGAUUACAAGAUGUAGUAGAAAUAAGAAUAUAAUAAGUGUGAAGAUUGUGUCAUUCUUUCUCAUUGUAUAUCGCUGUCCUCAUGUAUGAUUGAUAAGUGUCUCUACAUUAUUAUAUCAUAUAUUAUAUCACUUUUAUAAUGGAUCCUAAUAUAAUGUGUCCCCAUAGAAUGGAUCACCAGUAGAAUCCUAUGGGAUCUCUUUUAUAACUACUGAUUUUAUAUUGUAUCCCUUAUACUGAUUUUUAGGUUUUUGAUUUAUUCGAUUUUUUUUUUUAGAUUUAGGUCACAUGAUAAUUGCCGCAAAUGUUUAUCAAAAUAAUAUUUUUUGGGUGAAAAUACAGGAAAAUCAUUAUUAGCGGAUACAAAUACAACACAACUUACACAAUUCCUUCUAAUUCUACAACAUGGACCUGUAUUGAGAUAAUAAAUAACAAAUAUUUGUAAAUUGUAAA